rnacentral:lncRNA from 1 species
CUUAUGAGAUAUUCUUAUGUGGUAUGCUUAUGAGAUAUGCUUAUGUGAUAUGCUAUGUGAGUUAGUGGUAGUAACAGGGAGUAGCUUUUCCUUGACUCGGUCGUUAGGACCGAAGGGUAGGUCAGUACCCCAGAUAUGCCUGAUCGUAUGAUUAUAUUUUGUUAUUGUAUGAUAGAGGAAGGGGUGAAAUAAUUCAUGUUGCCGGUUGAGAUAAACCGGAGGGUAGUCGGCACCCCAGAACAGCCUGACAUGGGUAGGUCAACACCCCAGAAUGGCUUGACAUGGGGAGGUCGGGGACCCCAGAAUUGNCCCAGAACAGCCUGACAUGGGUAGGUCAACACCCCAGAAUGGCUUGACAUGGGUAGGUCGGGCACCCCAUAAUUUCCCGGUAGUAUGUAUGCUAUGUGAUUGUAUGGUAUGUAGUAUGAUGGGGGAACUCACUAAGCUUUGUGCUUACAGUUUCAGUUUUGGUUUCAGG